AAGUCCUCUGGACUCUGUACCGCAAAGUGAAGGCCGCAGGGAAGAUGUUGGGGAACCUGUGCCUGGAUGAGAGCAGCCUCGCCUCUGAUGGGUCCAACCUGACCGACCUGGCCCUGGAGACCAUCAGCAUCCAUCUCACGGCCAUGAGGCCCUUCCAGCUCCCGGUUCCUCCUGCCUGGCUCUGCCCCCUUUGUCAUGCUGGAAAAGACGAUCCUCUGACAGGUCACGUCCGUGGUGUCAGGAUUCUAUACAGCGCAUCCCCAGGA